CUCCUGGAAACGGGUGGUAAUGCCGGAUGCUCCGCCCCCUCGCAUGGGGGGUCGGGAAGGCUUUUGCGGAAUGGGAUGGGGUCGCGUCCUAUCAGCUUGUUGGCGGGGCGACGGCCCACCAAGGCUUCGACGGGUAGCCGGCCUGAGAGGGCGACCGGCCACAUUGGGACUGAGAUACGGCCCAGACUCCUACGGGAGGCAGCAGUGGGGAAUAUUGCACAAUGGGGGGAACCCUGAUGCAGCGACGCCGCGUGCGGGAUGGAGGCCUUCGGGUCGUGAACCGCUUUUGAUUGGGAGCAAGCGUGAGUGAGUGUACCUUUCGAAUAAGCACCGGCUAACUACGUGCCAGCAGCCGCGGUAAUACGCAGGGUGCAAGCGUUGUCCGGAAUCAUUGGGCGUAAAGGGCUCGUAGGCGGUUCGUCGCGUCCGGUGUGAAAGCCCAUCGCUUAACGGUGGGUCUGCGCCGGGUACGGGCGGGCUUGAGUGCGGCAGGGGAGGCUGGAAUUCCCGGUGUAACGGUGGAAUGUGUAGAUAUCGGGAAGAACACC
rnacentral:rRNA from 1 species